rnacentral:rRNA from 1 species
UGGGAGAUUUGGAAUGAGUGGAAUGCCCGGGUAUCCCGGAACAUUUACACCUUGCCAACAACGAUCUUUGCAGAGAUAAAGCGUGAGGCGGCACGUUGGGGCAUCGCUGAGGCAAAACACUUGAGAUGA